UAGUAGUAGUAGUAGUAGUAGUAGUAGUAGUAGUAGUAGUAGUAGUAAUAGUAAUAGUAGUAAUAAUAAUAACAGUGGAAUAGUUUUCCUCUCACGUAGGUGGUGAUACAGUAGUAGCAGUGAUGGUAAUAGUGAUUUGUUUCUUUUUUUCUUCCAAGUCAAAAUUAUGCGAUUAAUUUACACGUGCUCGUUUCCCUUUUUCAGAUUCUCUCUCCAUUAUUGCUUCCUUCUUAUUCGUCUUCUCUUCGUUCUUCUCAUUUUUUUCAUUCUCAUUCUCAUUUUUUCCUUCUCUCUAUCUCUUUCUAUCUUUCCUUCGUUUUCGCUUAUUGGCACGAGCUGCGAGAAUACGGAACAACGACACCGCUAUUGCUGCUCGAAUUCGACGUUGGUCGAAAUCCUUCCUUUUUUUUCUUUUCCUUUUCUCGCGGGCAAAGUCGUUCGCUGGAUGUGUGUGUUUUCUCCGUUAUUUUAAGCGUUUCUCAACGGAGGGAUCGAUGGAUCGCGACGAAGCAGCCAGUGUAGAAGAGUCGCGAAUACUUUUCUUACGGUAGAAG